GAGCUGCGCGCGCAUAUCAACUAGCAGACUACGUUGCGCUCCAGAGUGUCCUUUCUCCCAAAGCCUCUCUGGCCCGGCCCUUUCGAUAGGCGUUGGAUUUACUACGUGGAGACUGGAUGCUGAAUUAGAUAAUGACUGGCCUCAUUUGGAAUUUCUGAAAAAUGCACAUCAUGGGUGACUUCUCAGGACUCUAUCAGCAGUGAGCAACUUUGAGAUGAUGUCUCCCUCUGAUAAAAAGAUCAGGCCUAUUUACUGCUCACUAUAAGGGUGGUGGAUUCCUGAAUUUCACUGUUGUUCUACAGCAUGACACGUUGCAUAUGCAGG